rnacentral:rRNA from 1 species
UACGUAGGGGGCAAGCGUUGUCCGGAAUUACUGGGCGUAAAGGGCACGCAGGCGGUAGAUUAAGUCAGGUGUGAAAGUUUGCAGCUCAACUGCAAAAGUGCACUUGAAACUGGACUACUUGAGUCUCGGAGAGGUAAGCGGAAUUCCUAGUGUAGCGGUGAAAUGCGUAGAGAUUAGGAAGAACACCGGUGGCGAAGGCGGCUUACUGGACGAGUACUGACGCUCAGGUGCGAAAGCGUGGGGAGCGAACAGG